rnacentral:lncRNA from 1 species
AAAUAACAAAUAUGCAAAUAAAUCAUGAUCAGAGGAAGACGUUAAUCAGCACUGAGAAAGGGCAGAGUAAAGCAUAGAACGAAAAAAAAAGUCUGGUAAUCAAGAGAUAGAAGGGAGGAAAUGGAGAGGGUAGCAUUCAGUAAGGAAACUAUAAAGCAUGGAAUGAGAGAACAUCUCGAAUUCAAGCAAUUCAGACGAAAAAGAAAAAGAGGAAACAUUCUAACAAGGUUGUUUGAAUUCAUUUUCGAAGAAAGAAACGAGAGAAAGUUUCCUAUUCUGUCUAUUUUUAUUAAAAUUGAUAGCAAGAAAUUUUACGUCCUAUUUUAGCGGCGAGAGUAGAUGUUUAAAUUUAUUGCAAGUGUUACUUUAUUAGCUAAAGAGUCGUAUAAAUUUUGUCGAUGCCAAACUUUUUGAGUGAGCGAAUGAUUUAUUUUGUUAUUGUCGUAGAAAAUUCUCUUCGUUUGGAGAAGUUUAAAAAUUUAUCUUAGAAGUGGAAAGGCAUAUUCUUAGUAUUUCAAAGAAGUAGUGCAAAUGAUGUCUUUAAAUUAUUUUGCAAACAAAUGUCGUUCAAAAGUUAGUCCAGUCUUUUUAAUGAAAUCUGUCGAACUCUAGUAGUAGAAGUACAAAUAGUGCGUUGUUGUCGAAGUUUAGUAAUAGAAGUGUAACUAAAUUGUCGAACUCUAGUAAAAAAAAUCUGUCUAAUAGGAGUGCAAAAACAACGUUGUUAUGAAAGUGUAGUACUUGAAGUGCAAUUGAAAAGUCGUUCUAAAAUCUAGUAUUCGUGGUGCAAGCGAAAAGUCUAGUAGUAAUAGUGCAAAAUUUGUAAAACUGUAGUAGAACAGAUUUAAAAAUCAAACUGUAGUAGUGCAAGUGAAGAGUUCUUUUUAAGUAAUCUGAGUCGUAUGUUGCAAAUAGAGUAGUUUUGAAUGAUUUCAAAAUCCAGUGAUAGUGCAAAUAAAAGUAUUUCUAAAAUAGCAGUGCAAGAGAAGAGUCGUCUUGAAAUCUGUUCAAGUGUAGUUGUAAUAGUGCACAUAACGUUGCUGAGAAAAAAUUGUCAAACUAGUACAGCAAAGUGAGCAGUUUUUUCAAAUUAGUCAUAUUGCAAAUAGAAGUCGUUCUAAAACUGUAGCAGUAGAACUCAUUUAAAUCAGUCAGAUUCUAGUAGUAAUAGUGCAAAUGAAAAAGUAGUUCUGUUGAACUCUAGUAGAAAGUGUGCAAGUGAAGAGUUUUUCAAAUAAAAUGUGAAGUCUAGUAGUAUUGCAAAUAUAAGUCCUUCUAAAAUAGUGGUGCAAGAGAAGAGUCGUUUAAUCAGUAGUAAUAGUGGAAAUGAAAAAGUUGUCAAGUCUAAGAAGUCAUUAUAAAAAGCUGUCAAACUCUGACUAGUAGCAGUGCAAGUAAAGGGUCGUUUCGAAAACUGUCAAAGUCCAGUAGUAAUAGUGCAAAUGAAGAAGUAGUUCUUUCAAACUGGUAGAAGUGCGAGUGAACAGUUGUUUAUAAAAUGUGACAUUCUUAUGAUGCAAAUAGAGUCGUUUUGAAAGUCUAGUAGUGCAAAUAACAGUCGUUUUAAAAAACUCAAAUUCUAGCAGAAGAAGGGCAAAUAAAAAUCUGUGAAUUUUAACUGCAGUAGUGAAAAUAAGAAAUUUGUUCAAUAGUCUAACAGUAGAAAUGCACUUGAAACAAACUCUAGUAGUAAUAGUGCAAAAGUGUAAUUAAGAAGUCGUCAUAAAAAGCGGUCACUAAUGGUAGUGCAAUUACAAGUCGUUCUAAACAGUAAAAGCGCAAUUGAAAAUUCUUAUAAUCUGUCAAACUCUAGUAGUAGUGCUAGUGAAGAAUCGUUUUGAAAUCAGUCAAAGUGUAGCAGGAGUAAUCCAGCCGAAAGUGGGUCAAAAAAUCCAAGUAGUAGUAGUGCAAACAUCAGUCAAAGUCUAGUAGUAGUGAUGCAGGUUAAAAAAAUCUAUCAAAGUCUUGUACUAGUAGAGUAAGGUCGUUUUAAAAUCUGCCAUAGGUGACAUUUUAUUCUAACUUCAUGAAAGGGAAUUGUAGUGUAGCCGCAGUGACAAUAAACAAUACGAUUUAACUCAGACGUUUAUUCAUGUAUUUUUAUUUUCCUCUGUAAAUGUCUUGAAUUUCCUCCUUACCA